UGCUGGCCUGGCUGGAGCCUGCAGUACCUCCCCUGCUGGCCUUUCAAGGCCAUACAGCGCUCCCUGCGGACCCAGCUGAUGCCUCCCUGCGGGUCGCUGGUCCACCACCCCGCUGUACAUACCCCUUUCCUAAACUGAGCCCUGACGCCAGCAACUCUCUGAGCCAUGCCCACAUCUUGAACCACUGACUUUGUUCCCUAGGGAUGGCCUCUUGGUUCAUACGUACCUCUGACUGUCCCCCUCUACUGAGUUGCAGAGCGGCCAGAGUAGGAGUGGAUUUGCAGUGUCAGAGCAGGACAGAGUAUUUAGGAACGUUGGACAGGAUAGACUACUGCAGAAGUCACUAACCCGUGCCGGAGUGCGAGGUCAGUUGGCUACAGGUCGGUUGAGAGUUUCUGUUCGGAUCGUCGGUGCAGGGGCAAUUCAGGAUGUAAACAUUGCCUCAAUCCACGAAGCUGGAAUCUUUUCAUCUUGACACAAGCCCCCAGCAAGUAACUGCCAUCCAUGGUCAUCUCUACCCCCUGCGCCUUGCCCAGAGCCUGCUGUAUGAAUCUUUAGGAUCAGGUUGUGGAGUUCAAAAGGAAAAUGCUUUUAAAAGAAUCUACAACCAUAUGGAGUUGCACAGGAGGAACACAGAAAGAUGUCAAAACACAUUACUCCCAUGGCCUUUGAGCCGUCUCUCAGCAGAUUCCCUUGAGGGAACUGACAGCACUUUGAAGGCCAUGGAAACUCCCUCAACCAAUGGAGAACUAAAGAGUGGAAACUGGAACACUGCAUCUGUCCCUGAAGGAUGAUCAUCACAGCACAUCGUAGGAGAGCCAGCCAGGGUCCAAACAGCUCCUGCCAGAGACUGUUCUGAACAUUGGAUAAGAUAUGGAUGGCCCCUGUGCCUGAG